rnacentral:rRNA from 1 species
AAGCGUGCGCAGGCGGUUUUGUAAGACUGUCGUGAAAUCCCCGGGCUCAACCUGGGAAUGGCGAUGGUGACUGCAAGGCUAGAGUUUGGCAGAGGGGGGUAGAAUUCCACGUGUAGCAGUGAAAUGCGUAGAUAUGUGGAGGAACACCGAUGGCGAAGGCAGCCCCCUGGGUCAAAAACUGACGCUCAUGCACGAAAGCGUGGGGAGCAAACAGGAUUAGAUACCCCAGU